ACACACACCAUCAACAUUACCUUUAUUCAACAUGCUGCCACUGCAGCAUUGGGGGUUUUCUCUGAUGUUUCUCUCCAUCCUCACAGGAGUCAACUGUGAAGAACUCACUCCAGUAGAGAAAGAAGAGAACAGUUUAGAAGACAGCUCUGUUACUCUGUCCUACAGAUACUCCAGACAAGCUGCUGGUGGUGAUUAUUUCUUCUGGUAUCGACAAUAUCCAGGAAAACCACCAGAGUUCCUCAUCUUCAUCUCAGGGUUGAACAUUACAAAAAAAGCAGAAUCUCUGACAUUGGAAACAAGGUUCUCUACUAAACUGUCCGGAGAAAAGCAUGGUGUGGAUCUCCAGAUCUCCUCUGCUGCAGGGCCAGACUCUGCUGUGUACUACUGUGCUGUGAGGCCCACAGUGACAGCAAACCCACAGUCUCUGUACAAAAACACAAGCUGACACACUGCCAAGCUGCUGGAAGCCUUUUUUCUACCCUGUUGUAGUGAACCUUGUAGCUCCACUAGAGGGCGACAUUAUCAAGUAGGAGGUGCACUACUUGUGCACUGUGUUCAACCAUUCAGUCAAUAAGAAGUGGAGCUGUGAAGAGAACAAUUCUCAGACUGGAUGUUGAACAUCAGCUAGUUUCUCCUGUUGAUUUAAACCUUGUUGUAGAGAUGGAA